GUAAGUUUGUAUGAAUAUUUGUAGGUUUUCACCAUCUAGCUAGUUAUUUUUCCACUAACGACCAACUUUUUGCAAUACAUUGACGAUGAUAGACGAUGGUAGGCGUAUUAAGUUAAGUUAGGCAUGCAUAGAUGUAGUUAGCUAAUCAAUAUGCCUCACUGACUUCAAGUUCAGAUGCAUUCGACUGCAAUACCACGUCAAGAACUUAGAAGUAAUAGAGUUGAUAACGAAAUUCAUUUAAAUUAUACAUUUCAGACUUGAUUUAUUUGUUAACACCGUGCCAUGUAUGGGUUAGUGAUAAUUGAAGUUGUUCGGCCGGGUGGGUGACGUUGGGUUAACGUACCAAAAUGUUAGCAAGUUAGCUUGACAACGUGGUUUCUGCCCAAGUUGAAAUAAUUUGCAAGAUGAUAUGUUGUCGUGCUUGACUUGUGCCUGUCUGAAACCAGACAUUGAGAGUAAUUUCAACAAUUUCUGAAUGGCAAGAAAGUCAUUAGAAAGACACGAGGUUAUACUCUCAGCUAACAAGUUUAUUAGCACCCCGUAUAUCAACCUAUUGAUACUGUAAGAGGAGAUUUAUUUUUGUGAAUAAUUGUGUAAAAGAAAAUAUGAUUUCUAUGAUGGUUAAUGAUUUGAUAAAUAUAUUCUUUAUAUAAUUAUUUAGAUUGGGGAACUACUUCUUCCUGUGUAGUUUGUAUCCAUAGGGUUCACCGUAGUUAGGUUGGGCGGAGUGAUACGCCGCACACGAGGCUAGUUUCAAGUUUGUUACCGGCGACAAGGGUGCAACUUGUCUGUUUUCUUGAGCGGAGAAUAAAACAUAUACAAGUUGCUCUGAAGAAGCUGUCCCCGUGCUGUUCUUACCCACGACCCCAAAAAUAGACUUUAUUAAGAAAAUGCUGCUGCGUGUCUCGUUUGGCGGAGUGCAGAAGUACAUGAAGCUGCCUGAACUAACAUUCGGUGAUUUCUUGAGAGAAGAGGUCGACUCUGAAGUUUUUGAGGAGAUCGUACAAGAGUUCCAUGGACCUUUCCUAAUUUCAUUGGCCAAUGAAGCACCUGGUAAUUGCUGCCUACCUGCAUAAGACUACACACACAUCGUUGAAGUGGAAGUGUUGAACUAUGUAAUUGUGUUCUUAUUUCCCAAUGCUCAGGUUACCCUCAGUCCACGUCAUCUCCAUGCUCUAUUGCAUCUGAAGACACAGUGAUCCUCAACUUCUCGUUGUGUGACCCAGCUGAGGAGCCAGUUGCAGCCGAAGGAAGUCAACCUAAAAGGCCUUGCCGCAUUAACUAUGAAGCAAAAGCUCCUGGAGGUGACCGUGUCAUGGAGGAGUAUGCGAAAACGAAAUCAUUUACAGAUUCAACCAGAAGACAGCUCAUCAACAUACUUACUGCAGAGAUGACGGAAACACAUGGCACAUCGCCGCCCCGGAGUGUAAAAGUGAUGUAUGCACAGGGGAUUGUCGCUCUGUUUCCAUACCUUGAAGACCCAUAUUCACAGAAUGGCUAUGAACAUUACUACGAUCCUGAAAGUGGUUCAGGCUACAUUGCAUGGCGGUUGAAGACAAUUCAACGAAAAGCUGCUGAGGAAAGAGGUCCUGCAUUGGUGGGCCAGGCCAUGGGCGUACUAGACCCUUUACUGCCGACAGAGUCCUGACUGACGAGGAAGUGGAAUGCGCUAUCGCUUUGUUGAGACACACUGCUGAUGAGGAGACCAUCCGUGAAAAGAUGAAAGUCACUUUCGCAUACCGCCACGCCAUGGUCAAUGAUGAGAACAAAUCAGCAGAGGUCUUCUCAGUAUUUCCACGGUUCCUAGACACACCAGGGGUCUCAUUUAUAAAACUUUGCGUGGGAUCGUUACUAAAAAUGUACGUACGCCCAGAAGCCAAGUUUUGCGUGCGCCAAAAAAUAUUCGGAUUUAUAAAACACUGCGUACGCACACCUGUACGCAAUCUUUGCUUUAUAAAUCACAUACUGACUAUAAUUGUGCGCAGCUGAAUCAGCUUCACGUUCCGCCCCUCUACACGCCCCUUUUUAAACAUAAAUGGUCAAUGCAAAUGACCUCAUGAAUGCGAUCUGCAUAUAAAACAGACUCGGAUGGCAGAAGUACUGAGAAAAUCAAAAAAGC
ensembl:lncRNA